rnacentral:rRNA from 1 species
AUACGUAGGGGGCAAGCGUUAUCCGGAAUCACUGGGCGUAAAGCGUGCGUAGGCGGCCAAUAAAGUCUAGGGUGAAAGGCUACGGCUUAACCGUAGUAAGCCUUAGAAACUUAUUGGCUUGAGUGCAGGAGAGGAGAGUGGAAUUCCUAGUGUAGCGGUGAAAUGCGUAGAUAUUAGGAGGAACACCAGUGGCGAAGGCGACUCUCUGGACUGUAACUGACGCUGAGGCACGAAAGCGUGGGGAGCGAACAGGAUUAGAUACCCUGGUAGUCCACGCCGUAAACGAUGAGUGCUAGGUGUUGGAGGCGACAGCCUUCAGUGCCGGAGCUAACGCAUUAAGCACUCCGCCUGGGGAGUACGGUCGCAAGACUGAA